rnacentral:rRNA from 1 species
AUUGAACGCUGGCGGCAGGCCUAACACAUGCAAGUCGAACGGUAACAGGAAGAAGCUUGCUUCUUUGCUGACGAGUGGCGGACGGGUGAGUAAUGUCUGGGAAACUGCCUGAUGGAGGGGGAUAACUACUGGAAACGGUAGCUAAUACCGCAUAACGUCGCAAGACCAAAGAGGGGGACCUUCGGGCCUCUUGCCAUCGGAUGUGCCCAGAUGGGAUUAGCUAGUAGGUGGGGUAACGACUCACCUAGGCGACGAUCCCUAGCUGGUCUGAGAGGAUGACCAGCCACACUGGAACUGAGACACGGUCCAGACUCCUACGGGAGGCAACAGUGGGGAAUAUUGCACAAUGGGCGCAAGCCUGAUGCAGCCAUGCCGCGUGUAUGAAGAAGGCCUUCGGGUUGUAAAGUACUUUCAGCGGGGAGGAAGGGAGUAAAGUUAAUACCUUUACUCAUUGACGUUACCCGCAGAAGAAGCACCGGCUAACUCCGUG